AAGACUAUAGACCUGCGGAGUACCUGCGGAGGGAUCGUUAACGUUGGGGACUAACAAUCCCUCAGCGAGAUAGAACCCUUGCCUUUUCGAGUACCACACGUUUCCUCGGCAGGUACGCCUGCCAAUGGGGACCACAACAAAACCUUUUGUAAUAGCAGUAAACGUCUUAAAAACAAAACUUUUAAAACUUUCAACAACGGAUCUCU
rnacentral:misc_RNA from 1 species